rnacentral:misc_RNA from 2 species
AACGCACCUUGCACUUUUUGGUUAUUCUGAAGAGUAUGCCUGUUGGAAUGUCGCGAACCUCUCAACCCCGCUCUGAUUAAUCGGAGUAGCUUGGGCUUGGAUCAUGGUCUCUUGUUGGUCUUGCGAUCAACUAGACUGAAAUACAUCAAGCUAAAUUAAAGACUUAUGCGGUUUGACCUGACGUUGUAAAUUAAAACUCGUUGGGAACGCGUUAGACUUUGAAGGAGCUUCAACCAAAUCAAUGCUGAUCUUCGGAUUAGUACAAUCAGACUUCCAAUCAGGUAGGACUACCCGCUGAACUUAA